GGAAGGUCCGGGCGNNAUCCGGAUNUAUUGGGUNUUAAAGGGAGCGUAGGCCGGAGAUUAAGCGUGUUGUGAAAUGUAGACGCUCAACGUCUGCACUGCAGCGCGAACUGGUNUCCUUGAGUACGCACAAAGUGGGCGGAAUUCGUGGUGUAGCGGUGAAAUGCUUAGAUAUCACGAAGAACUCCGAUUGCGAAGGCAGCUCACUGGAGCGCAACUGACGCUGAAGCUCGAAAGUGCGGGUAUCGAACAGGAUUAGAUACCCUGGUAGUCCGCACGGUAAACGAUGGNUACUCGCUGUUUGNCAUAUNCUGNNAGCGGCCAAGCGAAAGCGUUAAGUAUUCCACCUGGGGAGU
rnacentral:rRNA from 1 species